AGCCAGUUGCCUAAUCUCAAUGUGCAAAAUCAGUUGUUGGGAUCCGCUUUGCAGCUAAACGGUAACAUGUUUUUUGCUGCCUGUAAUGCCCGCACAUUUUCACUUGUUUUCUAAAAUCCAAAAAGUUUGAAUUUUUUAUAACUUUUUAACAAAAUGAACAUGUUUAUUUAUUUAAUUUCUAUUUUCUGCUACCGCUUGUUAGCUAGUGUUUUGACUGUUAUGAUGUGGGGAUAUUGACAAUUUGUUUUUUUUAUAGCAUGAAGUUGGUUAUGUGGAAUCAAACUUCUCUGUAUUAGAAGGCCAUUUUAAGUUCUUGAAUGCUUAUGAUGUAGUGUCUCCAAAAGUGUAGAAUUUGGCUGACUUCUAUAUGCAAUCUUAUCCCAACCAACUUCCAAAAUUUAUUUUCAUCCUACAAUCUGUGUAUGUUAUUUAAUUCAUCUCCAUUCUAGUUUAUAUAUGAUACAGACACCUGUGAAUGUUUAUACACUUUUUGGCCAAGUCCCUGUAUCCUGAAGUUUGCAUGUUUUGUGUGUUGAAGGCCUAAUUAAAUACCCACACUGCCUACCUGCAUCUGAGUAUAAAAAAUGUAGCUGCCUCUAUUGUUCAAGAUGUGAUACAAAACCAUGUUUUUCUCUUUUCAGAUAUGUCUUUUUUAUAGGUCAAGGAUCAACUUUUAAUGUUGGAUGCUUCCAAAGUUUACUAAAUUGAUAUGUGGAAGAAUUGGUUGUUAAUGGUGCAACAUCUUCCAGGGAUUUUUCUAUUUUCUUUGGAGUUAUUUUGAGUGUAUCUUGUUUCUGCAAAGGUUAUUAGCUUAAUUAAGUGGUUUAAGUUUGAAAUGUGUUCUGUCUCAGAUUUUUUCUCCUGGUUAUGGUUUAUGGUUUUGGUCUUUUACAGGAUAAGAAGUCGCUG
rnacentral:misc_RNA from 1 species